UGAAAGUCAGCGUCGUCUGGUCUAUGUUUUCAUUUAAUUUUACACAGUCAAUAAGGCCUCAAACCCAAAAUUACCACUUAUGAUUAGAGUAAAAACAUUCUAAAAAUUUUUAAAAAGGUUGGUGGUGUCUGGUUGAAAACAAAUUGAGAGAUUAUUGACAACCAGCCAAUAUAGGCUACCUCAUUUUAUCGAUAGUGUUUCUUCUGGGAUAUCAAACCUCUAUUUUCAAGUAUGGAUAAAUUUUUAAUUAAAAAAAGCAAAGAAGUGUUGUCAUCUGGACCUUCAAGAAGUAUGAAACAAGCCCGUCUUCAUCAGCUUGGUGGAGUUGUGGUACUUGAAGACUUGGCAGCUGCCAACAAACAACUCUCAAAUCCUGAAGUAUCACCGGAAGAAAAAGUAUCUAUUUUGAAUAAAUUAAAAAACAAGAAGCCUGCAAAAGAAAUCCUGAAAUCUACUGGAAUUGGGAGAACCGUGCAUCGUCUUUGUAGAGAUAAGAACCCAGUAAUUUCAUCUACAGCUUCUGAAAUCUAUGAGUUCUGGAAGACUCACGUGCUACAUAUUCUCCGCCGGAAGCCUAUUGAAGUGGAAAGUGACGCAGAAACUCAACGCGGUCGAACCAGUGCAAAAAAAAUGAUUCAUCUAGCAUUAAAUGACUCAGUGAUUGCCGAAGAGAUUGAAAUUCAUGUUUUUAACAAGUGUAAAAAAAUUAUGAACCGCACCUACAAUCGUGUAAUAAGAAAAAUUCAUUUUUCUUUCAAAAACAAUGAAGAUCAAAGGCGACGAGUGAUAGAAAUGAAAAGUGAUUUGACGGAAUUUGUGGACGACAUGUACCAGGAUGUGAUAAAAGUGUAUGCAAAAUAAAGCGUGUUUUUUUAAUAAUUUUAAAUACACAAUUUUUAAAAUAA